rnacentral:rRNA from 1 species
UACGUAGGGUGCGAGCGUUGUCCGGAAUUAUUGGGCGUAAAGGGCGCGUAGGCGGGCGGUCAAGUCGAGGGUGAAAUCCCCCAGCUCAACUGGGGAAGUGCCUCCGAUACUGGCCGUCUCGAGGGGGAUAGGGGCGUGCGGAACUUCCGGUGGAGCGGUGAAAUGCGUAGAUAUCGGAAGGAACACCGGUGGCGAAAGCGGCGCGCUGGAUCCUUCUCGACGCUGAGGCGCGAAAGCCAGGGGAGCGAACGGG